GGGCACAUGGUGUAGUUGGUUAUCACGCCCGCUUAGCAUGCGGGUGGUCCCCGGUUCAAUUCCGGGUGUGUCCA
rnacentral:tRNA from 1 species